CGAUAAGUAAUGUGAAUCGCAGAAUUCAGUGAAUCAUCGAAUCUUUGAACGCACCUUGUGCUCCUUGGUAUUCCGAGGAGCAUGCCUGUUUGAGUGUCAUUAAAUUUCUCAACCUUUAUCAGCUUUUGCUGAUGAAUGGCUUGGAUGUGGGGGGUUCUUUUGCUGGCUCAGGUCGGCUCCCCUUAAAUGCAUUAGCUGGUGUACCGUGGACUUGGUGUGAUAAUUAUCUACGCCAUGUAUCGUCUGCAACAGUGUCACUGCUUCUAACCGUCUCAGACAAUUAAAAUGACAAUUUGACCUCAAAUCAGGUAGGACUACCCGCUGAACUUAA
rnacentral:rRNA from 1 species